GUGAAUCUUCUGCGAAUCGGUCGCCGGAUUGUGGUUCCGGAGGUCGCGGGUUCGAAUCCCGUUACUCACC
rnacentral:tRNA from 1 species